rnacentral:rRNA from 1 species
CACGUAGUUAGCCGGCGCUUCUUUACCCACUACCCUCACCACAACCAUUGUUGCGGCUUGACCAUGAGCGAAAGAGGUUCACAACCCGAAGGCCUCCAUCCCUCGCGCGGCGUCGCUGCAUCAGGCUUGCGCCCAUUGUGCAAUAUUCCCCACUGCUGCCUCCCGUAGGAGUCUGGGCCGUAUCUCAGUCCCAAUGUGACCGGUCACCCUCUCAGGCCGGCUACCCGUCAAAGCCUUGGUAGGCCAUCACCCCACCAACAAGCUGAUAGGCCGCGAGCCCAUCCCCCACCAGAAAACCCUUUCCACCAACCCCCAUGCGAAGACCAGUGAAUAUCCAGUAUUAGCACCCGUUUCCGGGCGUUAUCCCAAAGAAGGGGCAGGUUACUCACGUGUUACUCACCCGUUCGCCACUCAUCCACCCAACAAAAGCCAGGCUUCAGCGUUCGACUUGCAUGUGUUAAGCACGCCGCCAGCGUCGUCCUGCGCCAGGAUCAAACGUCU